AGACAGAUUAACAGGUUGCUACUUGGUUAAAUCGUGUCCUUGACUCGACUCUCGCUCUGCUGGCAAAUAAUUAGCUGCAAACAGAAUAAAACUCCCCACCGAAGUUAACCAAAUCCGCAUGAGGGGUUCAUUCAUUUGUUACAGAGAACAUGAGAGCUCACAGCGAGAUAACAUGGGGGACAGAAGGUCACUGGAGCAGGAAGCACUGUCCCAGUCAUCAGCUGAUUGUGCGCGGUGGCAGCAUGAAUCACCACGUCGGAGCCUCUGCGGCACAGAAUCGGGCAUCAGUGUCAACAGUGUGUCUCGACGACAGAAAGCAUGAAGCUCUUAAUGUGCUCUGGCUCCGUCCAUCAAAGAGAGAUAAUUGGAGAUUGACGCGAGAUGGCGGUGCGGUGGGUUUGGGUCGCGUUGCCCUUUGAGCAGACAGUAAUCAGGGCCCCGCCAUGAGCCCCGGGAAACAGGCCGCCCCGCGCUAUUUAUAGGCCGGCGCGGAGGACUCGAUACUGUAGUUGCGGAGCUGUGCACGUGAGCUCCUUCGAGGGGAAAAAGGGAGGCACGUUUUAAUGCCGCUUUAUCACAUUUAUCGCAGCAUUAAUCAUUUUGGGAAUGAAGAGAAGAGAGGGAAUUAGGCGUUUGGCCUAAUGUUUCAGCUAGCCAGCUGAUGACCUCAUUUUAUAAUGUUGUGUCUCUAUGAAUGUGGAUCUAAACGUUCGGAUUCAAGUUAGCAUCUGCGUGGACACAAUAAACAAUAAUAGAAGCAACUGAUUGGAAAUGUAACAGCCUGUGAGGACUCACAUGCUGAUUAAUGAAGGACUCAACACAUAUUAUUGGGCUCAACCUGUUAUAAUAAGAUCAUCGCACUCCAUCUUUGAGCUGCUCAAACUGCAAGUAGGUCAGGGAGCGUUUGGCGUGCUAACUAGUUAGCGGUUAGACGCAUUUUGUUCACACAUUUCAGUGAUUCUCUGCAAUCCGGCAGCAAACGUCCUGCAGCAUUAAAUGAAACAUUGUUGGACCUUUAAUUGUUUUACGAUGUUCCUACUGUGGAACAUUUAUUUUUGUGACCCUUUCCCAGGCAUGUGGUAACUGAGCCCGGACUAUCUUUACAUGCCCUCUCAUCGACACAUUUAUUCCCCCCGUCGCUCCCGAUGUCGCCUUCGCCAAAUACUCUCCGUGGGAGCUGCACACCAGUGUCAUUCCCCUUUUUAUUGUCUAAUAUAGUACACUAACCAGUAGGAAGGAGCACUCCAUCAACGUUAUUGACUUUUGUUGCAGUUUGAGCGUAACCCUCGGAGCUGUAUCCGGUGACAACUUCCUCCUCCGGCAGACGCGCGGUAUCAGGUGCAGCUCCUGAACCGCGCGUGAACUUUAACCACAGAGCGAAGGCGGUCAGCAGAAAUCCAUCACACUGACCCUUCAGCAGAGCAGCAGCUGGUCUCAAGCGCAGCAGCCAAGUCGCCCUGACAGCAACGAGCAUUGAUUCAGUUGUUGCUGUGUGUGUGUGUGUGUGAGUGGAUACAAACAGCCGCACACUUAAUGAUGAAUGACUUUGUGAAUCCUCUUCUGGUGGGUCAUCAAGAGGCAUUCAAAUUCCAACCACGACAUCUAACUAAGCAAAUGAUUAUCUGUUGGUCGGGAUGAUUUUGCAUUGGCCUGGAAGUCCUGAGGUUUUGGUUGGCGUGCUAAUGAAUAAAGCCAAUGUUCAUCCUUGAUCCAUUUCAUCCCAAACCACAGACUGUACAUCCUCCGCCCAACCAAUUUUUGAAGGUCACCAACAUCGUUUACUGGACUUGAGGAAAGGCAAUAACAACUUCACUACAACUAGUUGCAUAAUUGUAUUAAAUCUGACAACAGUGACCAA